UGGCUCAGAGUGAACGCUGGCGGUAGGCCUAACACAUGCAAGUCGAACGGCAGCACAGUAAGAGCUUGCUCUUACGGGUGGCGAGUGGCGGACGGGUGAGGAAUACAUCGGAAUCUACUUUUUCGUGGGGGAUAACGUAGGGAAACUUACGCUAAUACCGCAUACGACCUACGGGUGAAAGCAGGGGACCUUCGGGCCUUGCGCGAUUGAAUGAGCCGAUGUCGGAUUAGCUAGUUGGCGGGGUAAAGGCCCACCAAGGCGACGAUCCGUAGCUGGUCUGAGAGGAUGAUCAGCCACACUGGAACUGAGACACGGUCCAGACUCCUACGGGAGGCAGCAGUGGGGAAUAUUGGACAAUGGGCGCAAGCCUGAUCCAGCCAUACCGCGUGGGUGAAGAAGGCCUUCGGGUUGUAAAGCCCUUUUGUUGGGAAAGAAAUCCAGCCGGCUAAUACCUGGUUGGGAUGACGGUACCCAAAGAAUAAGCACCGGCUAACUUCGUGCCAGCAGCCGCGGUAAUACGAAGGGUGCAAGCGUUACUCGGAAUUACUGGGCGUAAAGCGUGCGUAGGUGGUUGUUUAAGUCUGUUGUGAAAGCCCUGGGCUCAACCUGGGAACUGCAGUGGAAACUGGACGACUAGAGUGUGGUAGAGGGUAGCGGAAUUCCUGGUGUAGCAGUGAAAUGCGUAGAGAUCAGGAGGAACAUCCAUGGCGAAGGCAGCUACCCUGGACCAAC
rnacentral:rRNA from 1 species